rnacentral:rRNA from 1 species
GAUGAACGCUGGGGGUCUGCUUAACACAUGCAAGUCGAACGGAUGUAGCAAAACAUUAGUGGGGGACGGGUGAGUAACGCGUGAGAAACUGCCAACAGGACUGGGACAACAGUGGGAAACCGCUGCUAAACCCGGAUGUACCGAAAGGGAAAAGAUUUAUCGCCUGUUGAUGAGCUCGCGUCUGAUUAGCUAGUUGGUGGGGUAAAAGCCUACCAAGGGAUCGAUCAGUAGCUGGUCUGAGAGGACGAUCAGCCACACUGGGACUGAGACACGGGCCAGACUCCUACGGGAGGGAGCAGUGGGGAAAUUUUCGCAAAGGGGGAAAGCCUGACGGAGCAAGACCGCGUGAGGGAGGAAGGGUCUUGGGUUGUAAACCUCUUUUUUCUGGGAAGAACAAAAAGACGGUACCAGAGGAAACAGCAUCGGGUAACUCCGUGCCAGCAGCCGCGGUAAGACGGAGGAUGCAAGCGUUAUCCGGAAAGAUUGGGGGUAAAGCGUCCGCAGGUGGGAAAUUAAGUCUGCUGUUAAAGCGCAGGGGUUAACUCUGUAAAGGGAGUGGAAACUGAAAAGCUAGAGUGUGGUAGGGGGAGAGGGAAAUUCCAGUGUAGCGGUGAAAAGCGUAGAGAUUGGGAAGAACAUCGGUGGGGAAGGGGCUCUGCUGGACCAUAACUGACACUCACAGGACGAAAGCUAGGGGAGCGAAAGGGAUUAGAUACCCCAGUAGUCCUAGCCGUAAACGAUGGAUACUAGGUGUUGUCUGUAUCGACCCGGACAGUGCCGUAGCUAACGCGUUAAGUAUCCCGCCUGGGGAGUACGCACGCAAGUGUGAAACUCAAAGGAAUUGACGGGGGGCCGCACAAGCGGUGAAGUAUGUGGUUUAAAUUGAUGCAACGCGAAAACCCUUACCAGGACUUGACAUGUCGCGAAACUGAGUGAAAGCUCGGAGUGCCUUUGGGAGCGCGAACACAGGUGGUGCAUGGCUGUCGUCAGCUCGUGUCGUAAGAUGUUGGGUUAAGUCCCGCAAGAGCGCAACCCUCGUUUUUUAGUUGCCAAGCAUUAAGUUGGGGACUCUAAAGAAGACUGCCGGUGACAAACCGGAAGAAAGGUGGGGAUGACGUCAAGUCAAGCAUGCCCCUUACGUCCUUGGGGUACACCACGUACUACAAAGGUAGGGACAGAGGGGAAGCCAACUCGCGAGAGUGAGCUAAACCCGUAAACCCUGCCUCAGUUUAGAUCGCAGGGAUGCAACUCGCCUGCGUGAAGGGGGAAACGCUAGUAAACGCCGGUCAGCAUACGGGGGUGAAACCGUUUCCGGGGCUUGUACACACCGCCCGUCACACCAUGGAAGUUGGGCAUGCCCGAAGUCGUUACUCUAACCGUAAGGAGGAGGAUGCCGAAGGCAGGGGUGAUGACUGGGGUGAAGUCGUAACAAGGUAGCCGUACCGGAAGGUGU